GCGUCAGGGGCGAAUCCUCGAGCCCCACGUCCUCUUCUUCCCUUCCGCGCCGUCCUGCCUCCCCUCCCGCACCGCCGCCUUCUCUCCACGCCUCAUCGUCGACCACCCUGGCAUGUUCUUAUGGGCCUCUUCCCCGGCGCUCAAGGUGCAGCACGGCGCCGCUCCUCCGCACGGGCAUGGCCACAUCUGCCUGUGCUCGGCAGAAGGAGUGGCUGCGGUGAUGGCAGAUGUGUGAGGAGGAGGAUGUCGUGGUCAUGGCGGCGUGCAACACCAGGCUGCGGCGCUAUUCGUCGCGGCGGAGGUGAGUGGCUGUGGUGUUGGCAGAUGCAUGAGGAGGAGGAGGAGGAGGAGGCCGUGGCCAUGGCGGCGCGCGAUGGAGGUCGUACCAGGCCAGCGCGCGGCACUAGGCUGCGAGGGAGAAAGAGAGAAGAAAUAGGGGAGGGAGGCCCGACAACGGACGGGAGAGGGUUGCCGACUUGCCGGUCGGCGUCGGCCUGUGCCGGCGAGGUCGCUCGCCUGGCAGCCAAGGAGGGAAAGGCGACGGGACCGGCAUCCAGGGCGGCGGCGGCGGCUGGACUCCAGAAGCUGGCCGAGGUGGUACUCGCCAAAGAAGCAGGCGGCAGCGCAUGCUGGUGGCGCACGGGUCGGGUCAAGGCUGGUGGCGCACGGGGUGGGUCUGGACCGAAGGCCGGGGCCUGCGGGGGAGAGUGGUAGGGGUUGGUGCAGCGGCAAAUACGGGAUGGAUGGGCCGUGAUGGGAGGCUCGCCAGCCGAAGCAGCAGGAGCAAGAAGGCGGGGUCGGAAGUGGAGGGAGGCUCGCUGGCCGGUGCAGCAGGAGCAACUGCAGCUGCUGUUGGUCGGCCUGACGCACUGCCGCAAGUCCUCAACCAUACCACCGCUGUUGUGGCCCGCACGCUCGACAGGAGCAGCUGCGCCGUCACUGGCGGCGAGUUCAACGGCCGCCGCCUCCUUUUCUCUUCAAAUCCAGUAAGCCCUCCCCUGGGUGCAUCAGGGGCUGUGGUUCCCUCAAGUACGGUGAAGCACCAGAUUUCUUCUAAAGUAUGCUGAUUGUUAUUCCUUAUAAGGGAGUACAAUAUCCGUUUGAAGACUCAUUAGGCCCAGAAUAUUUGCUGGGUAGUUAUGAUUCAGACCAUUCCUUAACAAAAUGCUUAUAUGGCCUGACGGUAUGAGUUCAGCUUCAGACUGUCAAGUUCGCAUCAAAUUUAUUGUUCCAUUUUGGAACAGUGUACUUUCAUGAGUAUUUUUCUAUUGAGUAUACUUUCACAAAUAAUCUUACAAAGUGGAAGUAUCAAGGAAUUAAUACAUAGAAGUUACGACCAUUGUUUCGAGUGAUCUCUGAAGAUGGAUUGCAGGUAAGUGGAUUAACAAUUUUGUACUGAUUCAUGUUUCUGUUGAAGUGUAAGCGUAAAGGAUAUCAUGUUGGGUUGCAUUUCCAUGUGGGGAAUGGAUAUCCUAAACCUGAGAAAGAACCAAUGCAGAUGAUAGUUUCUUAGGAAUAUGAUCGUGUUGUUACAGUAAAGAUGGUUGACCGUAGCACCUGCUAUAGUUCAGUUUACUACUGGGAAUAUCAUUCAGCCUCCGAACUAUGUAUUACAGCUACAAAUUUGGCUAGGGAAUCUGUCUCAUUUUAAUGUUGCAAUGAAGUGGUUCGGAUGCAGAGGGUUUUUUACUUCACUACUUUCUGACAUAUAUAAGUUAAUAUUUGUUAGGUCUAUUCCUGCCGAAAUAUGUAUGAAAUGUUUGUCAGUGUCCUCUUUUUUAAUUGGUUUAUAUAUUUAACUUCCAUUUCUUAGCAUUCGAAUGAAAUAUACUAAAUUGACUUUCAUUUUUCUGUCCACUACUCACAAAUUUCACUAGAAGCAUCAAUGUUUGCUGGUGCUGACCUUUUCAGAGACUGCAGCCAUGUGUUUGUCCAGUACAUUAUUUAGACAUAUGCGGUGCUGCCUCCAACCCAUAUAUGGAGAAGGUUCCGUAAACUGUGUAUUUGAAUAUGGCUGAUUUGGAAAGGAGGAGGUCACUGGUUCAUCUGCAAAUGUGUGGACCUCCCUCCCUUUCGCUCGAUUGCUCCACCUUGCUCCUUUGGCUGAUUAACAGCUAUUUCCGCAGCCCAUGACGCUGGUUGAGGUUAGUCUUUCAGCAUCUGUUUUCUUCAUUACAUGUCUUUUAAAUUGCAGGAUAGGCCCUUACAAACAAUAUAUUUGCCUGAUGGGUUUCCCUAUUAUGGCUCAUGGUCAUAGAUGUAGUUUGCCUUUGCUGUUGUUGUUUCUCAAUAUUUCUAUCCCACUAUACUAUAUGUGUUUUGAAUGUACCUGUAUACGAAAGAUGAUUACCUCCAUUAUUAUUGUUCGUACUACCAUUUUUACCCAAGAUUCAAAACACCUAAUGUGUGCCCUUUUUUCAAGUAUCUUUAAUGCAGUCUAUUGGUUCUUAACUUACUACCAACUACUAGCGGAGAUAGCUUUCUGAAAUAAGCAUGCUAAGCGUGAACGUUGUUUUACUUACGGGAAGAACCCUCAGGUCCUUGUGGGAGCUGCAUACAAACCUGUGUGGAUGUAUUUGGUUGGUAGCUGCAACAGCCUGCCAAUCCGAUAAGAGAAGCUAGCCAAGGGGCCAUCAGCAAUAGUGUAGCUUCAGCAUCCUGUCAAUCGGAGGAGAGGCCAAAGGAGUCAUCGGCAAGAAGCAACCUUAUCCUAGAACUUGAAGUGGAGUAAUGGUUAACAAUGUUUGAUGGAUCAUAUGUUUUCUUUUGUUCACACUUGAGAGCUACAAGCAUUAAGAUGUUAUGAUAAAUUAUGUAGCAAAGUUUGCUUUGUC